rfam:Dipodomys ordii contig_41350, whole genome shotgun sequence.
GGUGGCUUAGUGGUAGAGUGCUUGCCUUGCAUGCAUGAGGUCCUGGGUUCAAUUCCUCAGCACCA